rnacentral:rRNA from 1 species
UUGUCCAUCAUUCAGUUGGGCACUCUAGCGAGACUGCCGGUAAUAAACCGGAGGAAGGUGGGGAUGACGUCAAAUCAUCAUGCCCCUUAUGACCUGGGCUACACACGUGCUACAAUGGUUGGUACAACGAGUUGCGAGUCGGUGACGGCGAGCUAAUCUCUUAAAGCCAAUCUCAGUUCGGAUUGUAGGCUGCAACUCGCCUACAUGAAGUCGGAAUCGCUAGUAAUCGCGGAUCAGCACGCCGCGGUCGAAUACGUUCCCGGGCCUU